AAAAUCCGUCGAUUUUAGAA
rnacentral:tRNA from 1 species